rnacentral:tRNA from 1 species
AGAAAUUUAAGUUAACAAAAACUAAGGACCUUCAAAGCCCUAAAUAGGACUAAAAUCAACCUAAUUUCUG